rnacentral:lncRNA from 1 species
UCCCAGUGUGUCAACAACUAUAGCCGGCUACACCAUUCCUAAAGGCUCAAGUGUUUUUAUUAAUGUUUGGUCAAUAAUGAGAGAUCAUGAGACUUGGAAAAAUCCACUUAAAUUUCAACCUGAGAGAUUCUUUGAACAUCCAGAAAUUGGUGAUUACAGAGGAAAUAAUUUCAAUUAUCUACCUUUUGGAUCAGGGAGGAGAAUAUGCGCCGGGAUUAAUUUAGCAGAGAAGAUGGUAAUGAAUGUGUUAGCCACUCUCUUACAUUCUUUUGAUUGGAAAGUGGAAAAUGCUACAAAUCUGAAUUCAUCUGAAAAAUUUGGUAUCGUAGUGAGAAAAUUGGAUCCUUUAAUGGCGAUACCAACUAUUAGAUUGCCUACUUUAGAGCAAUACUAUUAAAUAUGAGAGAAUCUAUUAAAUUAUAAUAAAAAAAUUAUGAUAUAAAUUUAGUAUAAAUAAUAAAUUAUGAACCAUGUAGCAGAAAUUUCUAAAUAUGUUUCUAAUUGUAAAUCGUAUUUGAAAUAUUUGAAAUAAAAUGCUAUUGUUUGUCUCUCGUUUAAAAUAAAUAUACUAAAUUUUUCUUUGAGUUUUGCCAAUCAACUGAACUGUCUUUCUUAAUUAAGUAAUAAGUAAGACUAGUCAUAUUUGAUAAUAUCAAAAAUAAUCUUUGGAUGACGAACAAUGAAAAAGAUCUUGUUAAAGUUUAAGACUACAACAACUGAACUUAAAAAGCAAGAUCGGUAGAGCUGCAAAGAAAAAACAGAUUAAAUAUUUAAGAAUCUGAAAUCGCAACUCUCUACCUCAAGACAAUGAAGAAAAAAUUUUUUCCCUUAAAAAAAAUAAGUCUUUUUUUAGUUUUAUUUAUUACAGUUCUAAAACUUUGAAAUUUUAAUUUUUGUAUAAUAAGACAAAAUAUAAGUUAUUGUAAGCUUAUUGAAUAUAUGUAUCACUCUAUAUAAACUUAAAAAGUUAUAUGUAGAAUAAGAACAUGCAUGCCCAUUUUAUUAUUCCUGUAAAUAUUAAUUAAAAUUAGGGUUAUAUUCUUCGUCGGCAAUUAUUCUAUCCAAACCACCCGACUCAAUGCAGUAUUCCAAAUAAAUUUAUGGUUUAAGAUUCAGUUGAUAGGAAACUAUGUGCAAUGCAAGACAAAUUUAGGUUUAAGUUUUUACAUACUAAAUUUUGCUCAUAAAAAAUUCACCAUGCUUAUAUGUAUUUUUUAUUUUUUAUUAAUAUUAUUGUAACGGUUCCGAAAAUCUAAAAAAAAAAAAAGAUAAUAACUUAAGUACGGAAUCGAAAUAAAAAAGUUAAGAUAUACAUUCCUUACACAAUAAUUUAAAAGUACUAAACAACAUUACAUAAUUCACCAUUUUGAAAGAAACACAAGAAAUAAGGAAAUAAACGGAAAAGAGAAAAUAUCUAGCAUCUACUCACAAUCUUCUUGUGGAUCGGGCUCUGAAAUCUGAUCCUCUUGAUCUGAAACGGUUAAAUAAAGAAUGAGGUAUACUACCCCAGUAAAGAUAUCACAGUAUAUCACCGACACAGAAAUAAAGAUGAGUAUAAAAAUAAAAACAAUUAAUAGAGCACUAAAUUUAGCAAAUCUAUUUAUCAAUCAUAAAAUCAUUUACCAUUCACUUACCACAAUUGAAUUUAUGAAAAUAACUUGUGCAGAUAAUGAUAUCAUACGGAUCAUAAUUUCAUGUAAGAUUAGCAACAUAAUACAUAUCAUAAAUCUAUACACAUAUUCAAAUAACCAAACAUAACUGUUACCUUUUCACCAGCCUACUAGUAUCCAUGGAGGCUCAUAGGGAUGUCCCUACUACACGUGACCCAUUUCCUUUAACAAUCUCAAUUACAGCGCGUCUACAUGCCUCGUCCGGGUAUGAGUGCCAAGUUUAUUAAACCUCAAUACUCCGUCCGGUAUGAGACAACGUUCACGGUAAGGGUUUCCUAUAUACUCGGUCCGUUCACCAUCUCUCAGAUAUCUAGUAAAGCUGCCGUUCCAUCUAUUAUUUAAUCACACAACUUUUCNNNNNNNNNNNNNNNNNNNNNNNNNNNNNNNNNNNNNNNNNNNNNNNNNNNNNNNNNNNNNNNNNNNNNNNNNNNNNNNNNNNNNNNNNNNNNNNNNNNNNNNNNNNNNNNNNNNNNNNNNNNNNNNNNNNNNNNNNNNNNNNNNNNNNNNNNNNNNNNNNNNNNNNNNNNNNNNNNNNNNNNNNNNNNNNNNNNNNNNNNNNNNNNNNNNNNNNNNNNNNNNNNNNNNNNNNNNNNNNNNNNNNNNNNNNNNNNNNNNNNNNNNNNNNNNNNNNNNNNNNNNNNNNNNNNNNNNNNNNNNNNNNNNNNNNNNNNNNNNNNNNNNNNNNNNNNNNNNNNNNNNNNNNNNNNNNNNNNNNNNNNNNNNNNNNNNNNNNNNNNNNNNNNNNNNNNNNNNNNNNNNNNNNNNNNNNNNNNNNNNNNNNNNNNNNNNNNNNNNNNNNNNNNNNNNNNNNUUUUUACCUUUUUUGGCGGUCGGAAAUGGUUCUAGUGUGGUGGUGGGUGGCAACGGUCUGCUCCCCGGCGGUUGGGUCAUCUUCUCCGGCGAGGGGGUCUAGUGGAUAGGGUUAGGGUUUGGUGCAGAUGGGGGUUAUUUAUAUCCGUCCACUUUUGAUCUGGACCGUCCAUCGCGUUUGAUCUUGACCGUCCGAUCGCAAUUAAAUAGGUAAUGAAUCUAACCAUUCAUCGCGAUCAAAUCUGGACCGUCCAUCGCAAUCCACUCUGGGCCGUUCGAUCACAUUUGAAUCUGACCAUCCGAUCACAUUUGGGAGGGAGCGCAUCCAAGCCGUCCGUGCGCGCGAGAACUAACCUGGACCGUUCAAUCGCAGGCACGUGGAUCACCCGCGUGGCUUUCCGUGUGGCACUGCGUCAGCGUCCGUUGCCACGUGGCGCAUCCAGGUUCAUUGGGACAGCUGACCGGACGUCCCACGUGGUAGAACUUUUUCAAAUUACACUUUGACCCUUAGUUUCUGAUUUUUCUUUCAAAAAUAUCUUCAGAACCCAAAUAUUUACCUCUUUUCCCCAAAAUUAUUUCUAAUUUCAUCCUCAUUCAAUUUUUACCCCAAAUAAAAUAAAAUAAAAUACAACAAAAUAAAAUAAAUUAAUAAAAAAUUAAUUUAUUAAUUAUGUAAUCACACACAAAAUUUUAUUUAUUUUAUUUUAUUAUUUUUUUUGUGGGUGUUACAAUUCUCUCAUUCUUAAAAGAAAUUUAGUUUUUCAAAUUUGUCUCUCACUCUCAAUCAAACAGCUGGGGAUAUUGGACUCUGAAGUCUGAUUCUAACUCCCAUGUAGCCUCCCUCGAUGUGUGGUUCUGCCAUAUGACUUUUACAAAGGAAAUUUUUUGGUUGCGGAGUAAUCUGCUCUUUCGAUCCACAAUGCCGACCUGUACUUCCUCGUAUGACAGAUCCUCCUAGAGUGGAAGAGGCUCGUGGGCCAAAAUAUGAGAGCGGUCCGGGUUGUACUUGCGUAGCAUGAACACAUGAAACACAUUAUGAACCUUGUAAAGUUCUGGAGGUAGUGUUAGUCUAUAGGCGGCGGUACCAAUUCUAUCUAAGAUUUCAAAUGGUCCAAUAAAUCGGGGAUUCAGUUUUUUCCUCUUACCGAACCUACUAAUUCCCUUAAAGGGAGUGACCUUAAGGAACACUCGAUUACCUUUCUCAAAUUUCAAAUCCCUCAUCCGGGUGUCCGCAUAGCUCUUCUGCCUGCUCUGAGCCAUCUGAAUGUUCUUCCUGAUCUUAACUAUUUUGGAUGUAGUCUCCUCUACCAGAUUUGGGCCGAAUAGUUUCUAUCGCCCACUUCUUCCCAACAAAUCGGCGAUCUACAUGGGCGCCCAUAUAAUGCCUCAUACGGAGCUGUGCCAAUACUCGCUUAGUAGCUGUUGUUGUAGGUGAACUCUAUCAGGGGUAAAUGGUUAUCCCAAUGGCCCUCGGAGUCAAAGACACAAGCUCAGAGCAUAUACUCAAGUGUACAUAUUGUCCUUUCUGACUGUCUAUCGGUCUGAUGGUGGAAUGCAGUACUAAGGGAUAGUUUCGUUCCCAUGGCUUGCUGAAACCUAUACCAAAAUCGAGAAGUGAACCUGGGGUUCAUGUCGGACACUACAACCACUGACACUCUAUGUAAUCUGAUUAUUUUUCGGAUAUACAUUCUUACUAACUUGUCCAAGGGAUCGGUCAUCUUGAUGACCAAAAAGUGGGAAGACUUGGUAAGCCGAUCAACAAUUACUCAGAUGACAUCAUGUUCUGAGCGUGCCUAAGGUAAUCUUGUCAUAAAGUCCAUGGUGAUAUGUUCCCACUUCUAUUUCGGGAUCGGUAAUGGCUAAAGUAGCUCGCCUGGGUGUUGAUGCUCUGCCUUAAUAUGCUGACAUACCAAACACUUAGAAACAAUGUCAGCUAUAUCUCUUUUCAUCCCGUUCCAUCAAAAUCGGGGUCGCAUAUUUUGGUAUAUUUUAGUGCUUCUAGGAUGCAUGACAAACUUUAAGUUAUGAGUCUCUGUCAUAAUGUUCAUCUUUAACUCACUGUCACCUGGAACACACACCUUGUCCUGGAAUCUGAGUAACCCAUUGGUGGAGACUCGAAAUUCUGAUCUAACUUCCUGUUCUGCAUCUUUCUUGAGGGCUACUAGGGUGGAAUCGACGGACUGAACUUCUUUUAUUCUUUAAAUUAACUCAGGCUGAAUGGUCAAGUGACCCAAACAUGUGACUCUCCUCAGGUCCUGAAACUGUAGCUGUUGUGUGGCCCCAAUCUGCUUACAUUAUGAAACCAUCAAAUGGGCUAAUGUACCUAUACUUUUUCUGCUGAGUGCAUUGGCUACCACAUUGCCUUUAUUCGGGUGAUACAAGAUGUCACAAUUGUCUUUAAGAAGUUCUAUCCACUUUCUCUGACAGGUGUUGAGAUCCUUUUGAGUGAAUAUGUGUUUCAAACUUUUGUGAUCGGUAUAGAUCUGAAAGGUCUCCCCAUACAAAUAAUGGCGCAAAGUCUUCAAGACAUGUAUGAUUGCGACAAGCUCUAAGUCAUGGGUGGGAUAGUUUCUCUCAUGACUCUUCAACUUUCUAGACCCAUAGGCUAUGACAUUCUUAUGCUGCAUCAAAACACAACUCAGGCCUAGGCAGGAGACAUCACUGUAAACUAUAUACCCCCCCGAUCCACUCGGCAAUGCCAAUAUAGGUGCAGUAGUCAGCUGCUUCUUUAGCUCUAAAAAACUUCUUUCACAGUCCUCGUUCCACUCAAACUUGACAUUAUUCUUUGUGAGUCGAGUCAAGGGAGCAGCUAGACUAGAAAACCCUUCCACAAACUGCGAUAAUAACCCACCAUCCCUAAAAAGUUACAGAUCUCCUUAACUGAUGUCAAUUUUUCCCAACCGAACACUACUUCAACAUUUUCAGGGUUCACUGACACUCCAUCCUUUAAUAUGAUGUGUCUAAGGAAGGUGGUCUACUCAAGCCAGAAUCCACACUUACUCAGCUUUGCAUACAGCUUAUUCUAUCUGAGAACCUACAAAACCCGAGUCAGAUGAUAAGCGCGUUCAUAUCUGCUUUUUGAAUAAAUCAGAAUGUUAUCGAUGAACAUAAUAACAAACAGAUCCAGAAAUUGUCUGAAAAUCCUGUUCAUCAAGUCCAUGAAGAUGGUUGAGGUGUUGGUUAGAGCAAAUGACAUGACCAGAAACUCAUAAUGUCCGUAUCUGGUUCGAAAUGUUGUUUUGGAGAUAUUUUCUACCCUUAUUUUUACCUGAUGGUAACCUGAACGCAUGUCUAUUUUGGAGAAGACCUGGACACCCUGUAACUGAUCGAAGAGAUCGUCAAUCCUGGGGAUGAGAUACUUGCUCUUGAUUGUUACUCUGUUCAGACCUCUAUAAUCAAUACAUAACCUCAAUGUCCCAUCUCUCUUUCUGGCAAAGGUGACUCUAACACCCCAACGGGACACACUAUAUCGGAUAAACCCACUGUCUUGCAAUUCAGUGAUAUGUUUCCUCAAUUCCUCUAUCUCAACACGGCUCAUGCGGUAAGGAACGACUGAAAUGGGCUGGGUGCCUGGCUGAAGGUCUAUUGUGAAUUCGACUUCUCUUUCCACUGGUAGUCCAGGUAAUUCACAUGAAAAUACAUAUAUAAAGUCUCGGACUACCGGAAUCCCUUGAAUACAAAUAUCUUUCUUGGGUUUGCCUAAUUAAAGAAAACAGCAGGGUUAAAGUACUUGAUAAUAAAAAAAUUUAUCUUGAGGGAAAAAAAAUACUAAACAAUUUUUAUUAAUUUAUAAAUGGCUCCUCAUUAAGAAGAUUGAAUACAACCUUCUUGCUAAAGUAAUCUACGGUGGCGUAAUAUGCUGCUACCCAGUUCAUUCAUAAAAUUACAUCAAAGUCUCUUGUGUCUAAUUCUAUUAGGUCCACACUCAAUUUUCUAUCUGCUAUAUUUAUGACACAAGCUCUGUAUAUAGCUUCUCUCAAUAGUGUCAUACUCCCAGCAGUAGACACAAACAAUACAAAAUCAAGUUUAUCAAGUAAUAUAUUAAAUUUUGAUACAAAAAUAUGUUAAACAAAUGAAUGUAAUGCACUAAUAUCAAUCAAAAUAUGAGCAAGAUAAUUACAGAUAGUAUACAUAUCCUGUACCACAUCCGGGUUAGCUUCUGCAUCAUGCUGGGUGAGAUUGUAAGCUCUGCCCUGGAUAUGAGGUCUUCCCUAAUUCUGGUUCCUUGGGCACUCCUUCGCAUAAUGUUGGACACUACCACAUAUGCGACAGGUGUUGUUGAGGCAAUAGCAGGAUCGGUCCCCAUGAUCCCUGCCACAAUGCUGACAGAUCUUACCGCAUCCUGCCAUUGGAGCUUGAGCGGGAGCCUGGAUCACCGGCUUGGGCCUCUUGUUCUGUUGAACAGGCGCAGUAGGUGCUAGUCUGCGGGAUGAAGUUGAGGGUUUAAGGUUUCAUACUGCCUGAGAGAGGGUACAUAAGCUCCUCUCCACUACCUGUGCCUUGGCCAGAACGGCCGAAUAAAUCCUGAGCUCCAGCACAAACAAAUGAUGUAUGAUCUCUGGGUGGAGACCCCACUCGAACCUUCUAGCCUUCCCUCCUUCAUCCAACAAUAUCUCAGGAGAAUAUCGACCCAACUCUAGAAACUUGCGAGCAUAUUCUGACACAGUUAUAUUCCCCUAGACCAACUAUACAAACUUCAUCUCUUUCAAAUGUUGGAGAUGCUCUAGAAGGUAUUCUGCACGAAAAGCCGCCAGGAACUGUUCCCAAGUAACUGACAGGUAGGGUAGUCUGUUUGAGUUCCCACCAGCGGUCUGUUUCUCCAACUAGCAUGUAGGUAGCAAAUGUGACUUUCUGUUUGGGAGUCACUCCCAAGGUCUUGAAAGCCUUCUCUGUCUCUGCUAACCAGUACUCGACAUCUUCAAAAGAGGAUCCCACUACAAAAGAAGAUGAGUUUGAUCUCUUAUACCCCUUUAUAUAGCCUGGUCAAUCAUGGGAGGAGCUGGAUCCCGUGGAAGAGGGACUAGGCCAUGCUGAGGAUAGACUGGGUGGCCCUGCGGUGGUACUUGCUGAUACGGUGGGGGCACCAGAUUGUACUAUGGCAGUGCCGGGUGGUACUGUGGUUGGAGCACCAGAUCAUACUAUAGUGGUGCCGGGUGAUACUGUGGAGGAGUAAGGUCGUACCAGGGUAGUUUGAGAUUCUCUCGUUGCAGGGGUGGCUCAACCUGUGGUAGUGGAGGAGGGUCAGGUAGCUCCCUCCUUUCCUCCCGGCCCUGCUGGGCAGCAUUGAAUCUCUCCAGCAUCUCAAAUAUUCGGUCAACAUCUUCUCUAAGCGAGCCAUCCCGGGCUGCUCGGUUUAGUGGGAGUCUUUCUUUCCUCAUCUAUCUGUACCUACAUUUCACAAGGAGCAGUUGAGUGAUAAUUCAUUGUUUUAGUGUUCCCUAAGAAUUUUGUGUAAGGAAUGGUCUGAGGAACGUGGCUCUGGUACCGGCUGUAACAUUCUCAAAAAUCUAAAAAAAAUAGAUAAUAACUUAAGUGCGGAAGCGAAAUAAAGGAAUAAGGUUUAUAUUCUUUACACAAUAACUUAAAAGUACUAAACAACAUUACGAAAUUCACCAUUUUGAAAGAAACACAAGAAAUAAGGAAAUAAACAGAAAAGAGAAAAUAUCUAACAUCUACUUGCAAUCUUCUUAUGGAUUGGGCUUUGGAACCUGGUCCUCCUGAUCUGAAAUGGUUAAAUAAGGAAUGAGUUACACUACCCCAGUAAGGAUAUCACAGUAUAUCACCGACAUACAAAUAAAGGUGGGUAUAAAAAUAAAAACAACUAAUAAAGUACUAAAUUUAGCAAAUCCAUUUAUCAAUCAUAAAAUUAUUUACCGUUCACUUAUCACAGUAGAAUUUAUGAAAAUAAUAUAUGCAGACAAUAAUAUCAUACGGAUCAUAAUUUUAUGUAAAAUCAGUAACAUAGCACAUAUCAUAAAUCUAUACACAUCGUCAAAUAACUAAACAAUAACUGUCACAUUUUCACCAGCCUACUAGUAUCCAUGAGGGUUCAUAAGGAUGUCCCCGCUACACGUGACCCAUUUCCUUUAACAAUCUCAAUUACGGGCUGUCCCCAUACCUCGUCCAGUAUGAGCACUAAAUUAUUAAACCUCAAUACCCCGUCUGGUAUAAGGGUGAAGCAGGUCGUCCCCAUACUCCGUCCGGUAUGAGCGUCAAAUUACCAAGUCUCUAUAGCCCAUCCGGUAUGAGACAACGUUCACGGUAGAGUUCUCUAUAUACCCGGUAUGUCCACCAUCUCUCAGGAUAUUUAGUAAGGGUGUCGUUCCAUCUGUUUAAUCAUAUAACUUUCCUGUUUUCCUUUACUCUCCAUUUUCCAAAUCAACCAUGAUCACAUAAGCAAACAAACAUGCAUAAGGGAAUGCAAUCAUAUCUUAAUUUCUCAAUCAAACAGUAGUCACGUAAGGCAGCAAUUUAUGCAUUCAAAUCAUAAAAUUGAUAAACCAAAUACCAUCAUACUUUUAGACUGUAAAAUAAAUCAACAGAAAUUAACAGAGAAAAAUUUCCGAUUCGGGCUCCAUUAGCAAUCCGUAAUUAAUUUUGUAUAUUUAUUUAAUUUGCACAAAUAUUAUAUUAUUAUUUAUUUACACUUCAAUUCUAUGAUAGGGAAUAGGGUGAGAGAUCCUUACUCGAUUUGACAUCCGAAAAGAUAAGCUGUUUACUGCGUCUACGGGGGAUCCCUGGGUUUUCUGAAUUUUUCUUCGGGAAUUAAAAUGCAUUAAUGGUACCUACAAAUAUUCUAAACAAACUCGAAAUCAGUCCCAGGGCCCACUCGGCCAAUUUCCAAAUUAUGGCACAACGGCUCCUCUGUGCUCCGGCGACGACGCCACUGCCCGCGGCAUCGGUCUGCUUCAGGCUGGCUAUUUUCGGCCAUUUUUUGAUCGAUUUUGCAUCGAUCUCUGCAAGAAAACACGUUAAGGGGUCUCGGUUGGCUAAAAAAAUACAAAAAAUUGAAACUCACCAGCGGCGGGGCUCUUUGGUGCAGCGGCUCCUCCGACUCACAUUGCGGUUGGAUGUUUUGCUCUGGUCAACCUGUAGAGAAUGACACGGUGAUCACAACGGUGGAAAAAUUAUACAAAAUGAAAAAUCGGGAAGGGCCUCAUCGGAGGCGUUUUGUGAAAUUCUCUGCGGCGGCAUCGCCGGGCUUAGCCGGCGUUUUUCAGCCAAUUGACGUGUCUUUUUGCUCCAAUUUGGCUAUGGGUGAGCUUAAAAUUGAAUUUCGUGCAAAAGAAAAAGUUUUUACCUUUUUUGGCGGUUGGAAAGGGUUCCGGAUGCUGCAGCGGGUGGCAGCGAUCUGCUCCCUAGCGGCUAGGUUGUCUUCUUCGACAAUGGGGUCUGGCGGUUAAGGUUAGGGUUUGGUGCGGAUGAGGGUUAUUUAUAUCCGUCCGCUUUUGAUCUGGACCGUCCAUCGCGUUUGAUCUAGACCAUCCGAUCGCGAUUAAAAAAGGAGUGAAUCUGGACCGUUCAUCGCGAUCCACUCUGAACCGUCCGAUCGCAUUUGAAUUUGGCCGUUCGAUCGCAUUUGGGAGGGAGCACAUCCAGGCCCUCCGUGCGUGCAGGAACACACCUGGGCCGUUCGAUCGCGGACACGCGAAUCGCCUGCAUGGCUUCCCGCAUGGAACCGCAUCACCGCUCGUUGCCACGUGGCACGUCCUGCUUCGUCGGGGCUGCUGACCAGACGUCCCACGUGGCAGAACUUUUCCAAAUUGCACUUUGACCUCUGGUUUUCGAUUUUUCUUUCUAAAAUAUCUUCAGAACCCAAAUUUUUACCCAAUUUCUCCAAAAUAGUUUCCAAGUUCAUCCUCGUUCAAUUUUUAAUUCAUUUUUAUCCUAAAUAAAAUAAAAUAAAAUACAACAAAAUAAAAUAAAUUAAUAAAGAAUUAUAUUUAUUAAUUAUUUAAUUACACACAAAUUUUUAUUUUUUUUAUUUUUUUUGUGAUUGUUACAACCACAUAUAUAUAUAUAUAUAUAUAUAUAAUGAGGCCCUUAAAAGUAAGUUAACCAAGAAUUAGAGAGAGAGAGGUGUUGACAAUGAAAAGAUUUUAGAAAAUUUUGAUACAAACACUUCAUUAUUUAUUUAUUGUCAAAUGUGAAAGAAACGAUAAGAUAAUAUCCAGUUGUCAUCUGCUUAUAAAUAUGAAUAAGGAGGUUGACGCACAACUGGUACAUACUGCAUUGAAAUCGAAAGCUGAAGACCGAUCGGAAUUUGGGUUUGUGGUGGACGACUGCAGAGAAAUACUGGAGAAAAGAGGAAGCAUUUGUGUAAACUGUGUCCAUAGGAGUUGCAACAAGGCUUUGUCCACUCUACAUGCGUGUAUCCUGAUUUUCAUGUAUGGAUGGGUCUGUUACAAGUUAUUUAUGAUCUUAAUAAUAUUUGGCCAUUUAAAAAUAUAUAUAUAUAUAUAUAUAUGAAUUGGGAUUAAUUUAUCUCUUAUUUGUAUAUAUAGAUAUAUAUUGUGUAUAUAUUAUAUAUGAUUUAAUAUAUUAUCAGUUAUAUAAUAUGUGUGACUUCUUAGACAUAUGUUAAUUAAGUUUUUAAUUUAUAUUUAUUAUUUUGGUCAUUUCGGUGUCUAACAUAUAUUUUACUAGAACUAGUAACUUUUAUUUUUAAAAUAACAUUAUUUUUUAUAUUUAUUUUCAUCAAACUUAUAAUAAUUUCUUUACUCAAAAACACUUUCAAUGAACAAAUAUUUCAACAGUAUUUUAUAAGAUAUUGUAAAUUCAAACUAACUGGGUAUUUUUUUACUUUAUUCGUUAAAAAAUUGUAUUAUUACCUAAUAUACUACUUAAAUAAAUUAAUUAAUUUAAAUAAUUUUUACCCUAAAAAAGAUUGAUUUUUCACUAAAGCUCUCAAAUUUGAAAAUUUUAAUUUUUAUAUAGCAGGGAAAAGUACAAGUCCUUGUCAGCUUUACACAAGGAAACAAAAUAUACAACACUCCAAAGUGUUCUAUUUCGAAGGAGCAAUAAUGGCCUUAUAUUACUUAUCUUCAUUGAAGAUUUUCAGAAGAAGUCUUCCAAGGUACAUAUUAUUAAAUAUAUAUAGACUCAAGAGUAUAUUAGAGAUAAAUGUAACUGGAGCUGUGUGUAUAUAUGUGUAUAGAGGUGUAUAGCUGCCAAAUUGAUGAUGAUUAGACACAUCACAUAACUGAAGUUAGAUAAAAGCUAACCGUAGUCAGAUGUUGGUUAGUAUAAUUAGCUGUAAUUAAUAAUUGUUAGAGUGAUUAGUUUCAAUUAGUGGAUAAUUAAACUUGAUUACCUUCAUCUGUAUAAGUACUGUAAAGGUGAUUGAUGCAAAGCAGCUUUCAUUUUUUAUUAUAACAAACAAGGUCUCUCUCUCUCUCUCUGCUCUCCCGAUCGUCUCUCCAGUUUCUUCUUCUUGAGCUUCUCUGCUCAUUUAGAUUUCGUACAAAUCCCGUUUAGUUUUCCAAAAGAGUAUUCAUACGCACACAUACAUUCUUCCUCUAAAUAUUAACUAAAGUUAUAUAUUAGCGACAAACUAUUCAAUAUGAUGCUUGAAGGGUGGUCGCUGUGGAUGGAGGCAGAGCACACGACGAUAAUGGUUAGUAUCUUGGUUGCAACAGUCACCAUAUUUGUUGGGUAUAAAUGGUUGAUGAAGAUAGCCAUGAGAGGUAAGCCACCAUUGCCGCCUGGUCCAAGAGGCUUGCCUUUACUAGGAAAUCUUCCUUUUGUUGAACCAGAUCUUCAUAUUUACUUUUCAAAAUUGUCUAAAAAGUUUGGCCCAAUCGUCAAAAUCCAAAUGGGUACCAAAAUCUACAUCGUCAUUAACUCAGCUUCAUUGGCAAGACAAGUCCUCAAGGAAGAUGAUGUAAUUUUUGCUAACCGUGACCCCCCAGCCGCCGGACUAGCUCUCACAUUUGGUGGUCUUGACAUAUUAUGGAGGCCAAAUGGUCCUGAAUUCCGAUAUUUGCGCAAGAUUCUUGUUCGCGAAAUAAUGAGCAAGGCAUUCUUUGAUGCUUCUUACGGCCUUCGUCAAAGAGAGGUGCGAGAGAUGGUGAAAGAAAUCUAUGCAAAAGUUGGCUCACCCAUAAAAGUUGGGGAUCAGCUGUUCGUAACUUCUUUGAAUGUAGCAAUGAGCAUGUUAUGGGGUGCCUCUUUGGAUGAAGAAAAGAAAAUUAGUGUAGGGUUGGAGUUCAAGCAAGUUAUAGAGGAGAUAGUUGACCUUUUGGGUAAACCUAAUAUUUCUGACUUCUUUCCAGUCCUAGCUCCGUUGGAUUUACAAGGAAUUGUAUCAAAAAUGUUGAAACUCAGAUCAUGGCUAGAUAGGAUUUUCGAAUCAGUAAUUGCAAUAAAAACGAAAGUUGAUGGAGAAAGCACGGGGACAAGUAACGAAAAUAAAGACUUUUUGCAAAUUCUGUUGGAGCUUAUGCAGCAGGAAGAUGAAAAGAUGCUACUUUCCAAAGCUGACAUCAAAGCUUUGUUUGUGGUAAGUUAAGGCUUAAUUUAUACAUAUAUGUUUAUAUGUUAAUGGUUUUGCUUAUUUACACAUGCAGAAUGUUAUUACGGGAACAACAGAUACAUCAUCGAGUACCAUAGAAUGGGCACUAGCAGAGCUACUAAAAAAUUCAGAUAUUAUGAAGAAAGUACACGAAGAAUUGGAGAGAGUUGUUGGCAAUGAAAAAAUUGUAGAAGAGUGUGAUAUAAACCAACUACAUUAUUUACAGUCUGUAGUGAAAGAAACAAUGAGAUUACAUCCAGUUGUUCCUCUACUUGUCCCUCACAGUCCCAGUAUUUCAACAACUAUAGCUGGCUACAACAUUCCUAAAGGCUCAAAUGUUUUUAUUAAUGUUUGGUCAAUAAUGAGAGAUUCUAAGGCUUGGAAAAAUUCACUUGAAUUUCAGCCGGAGAGAUUCUUAGAACAUCCAGAAAUUGGUGAUUACAGAUGAAAUAAUUUCAACUAUCUUCCUUUUGGAUCAGGGAGGAGAAUAUGUGCCGGGAUUAACUUAGGAGAGAAGAUGGUAAUGUAUGUGCUAGCUACUCUCCUACAUUCUUUUGAUUGGAAAGUAGAAGAUGUUACAAACUUCAAUUUGU